CAAGAUGUUUUAGAACAAUGUUGUGAUGCCUGGUCCACACCUACUACCACUGAGACAAGCCCAGAAGUUAAAUUAUGAAGCAAACGCAUUAACAGUGUGUAAAUGCAAUGUAAGCGCAACCUACAACAGCACGAAGUUAGCAGAAGGAAAAUGGACUCAGGAGCCUAGCAAAAGAAGGGAGCCUACAAAAAAAAGCAAACAAGGGAAAAAUAAAAGGUAUGUUUGUGUGGAGGGGACAACCAGGUUAGGGAUGAUGUAAAAAGCAGAGUUUUAUCAAGAAAUCAAGUAUUUUGCCUAUUGCUCUCGCAGAGCCUUCUAAUUGCCAGCACAAUUUCUAAGGCACUCAGGCAACCCUCAAGCAGUGUGCUGAAGGUGUGUUUGUGCGGCUAUGCCCUCUGGCUUGGCUGCCAGCCUAUUUCCUUAGAUCAGAGCCAGAAGGCAGACUGUUUUCGAAUACCGAUCACCUCACCCGGACCUAAUCCUUUGAGUUCUCUUUGGCAUCUAUUCCUUCUGCCAGUUUCCUCUUCUGUUCCUCUCUUUUCUUCUGAAGUUGACAACAAAGACAUCCUCAGGGUCCUCCUUGAUGUAAGACCACUCUUGAUGUUAUUACAGUGUGGUUUUUCUUUUUUUUUUUUUUUGUAACCUAAAGUUGUGCUACUUUUAUAUUCAGCUAGCAC
rnacentral:lncRNA from 1 species